ensembl:lncRNA
GCAAGAGGACUUCAGAGUUCAAUAGGCUGCGAGAUGGAUCAUAUUUAGCUCAGGUGGUAGAAAAUGGCACUCGCAACGCCAGUGAUAUAGGAUUAAUUCCCACCUGGAGCCAGUGAUAUAGGUUUGAUUCUCACCGGGAGCCAGUGAUACAGGUUUGAUUCCCACCGGGAGCCAGUGAUACAGGUUUGAUUCCCACCGGGGGCCAGUGAUAUAGGUUUGAUUCCCACCGGGAGCCAGUAAGAAAAUGCAAGUUUGCAAUCAUAACAGCUGGUGAGCAGGAACAGGGGCCUGCCCUUCACCACUUCAGGCUGUAGAGCUGUGAUAGAGCUCUUGGCUAUUAGCUUCACAGAAAUAGCUUCCUGAUGUGGGCACACUGACCGCAUUCCUCCAGGGACACACAUGCCAUACCUCAACAAAGAAAACACUCCUGGCACCAUUUGAAUGGAAUUUGUGGAGGAUGUGUCUUACACAGUCACACUGAUUGGUGUGAUGGGGCACUUUCUUCACAAGUUCACCGGCAUUACCCCGUUGAGACGUGAAGUCAUAAAGGAUUUGGUACAUGGGUCCUAUGGAGUGGUGAGGCCUACAAUAUAUCCGCCAACCACCUGAUUUAGAGGCCCCAGUGGCGUCAUCUAUCCUGUGGUGAUUGUGAAACUGCCCUUAGUAGACCUAUCUGUAGGUCUGCCACGUCCUCCUGACCUGCCUGGUGUCACCAAUGACAGCCUGUCCGGCUCUGACCUCGGCUCAUCAAAAGACCCAUCUUCAGCCCUUGGGCCCCGCAAUGGCGCCAGCUCCGUCACAGCACCAGGCCUCUUCUUGGGUAACUGUGACAUCCCUGCACAGCGUGCACUACCAGACCCUGCUCAGGCCCUGCUACCGCUGGUGUCAACUCCCAUUGUGACUGUGCGGGACUCACCAGGCCUGAAUUAUCCCAACUCCUUCCCUCCAAUGGCCAGCCCAAGUGGCACUACCUGUUCUUGUUUGUUGUGUCCAAGCUGAUCCAACAUCGGCUUUAGAAUUACCACAGCUACAUCUCAUCUGGUCAUGGGAGCCAGGUCUGUCUCUGUGGCACAACCCCCCCAUCCCCCAACAUCUGAUGGUUGCAGUGGGCUGGACCUACACUUAUAGUACAUGUGUAUAUAGUACAUGUGUGUGGACACACUCAGCAACUAACCAGUGUGUGUAGAUGGCCACAACAUCUACCAAAUAUUGCAUGGAAUGUCUUUCGUCAGCACAGGGCAUUUUGCCAAAGUCAAUUAAAAAGUAAGAAAUUUUGAUAGAACAUGACACACACAGUGUACCUCAGAGGUAUGUGCCCUUCAAAAUUGCUGAGCAACAAAGGCAAGAAAAAAUAUCAUUGCCAUUUAUCAGCUUUAUCUUACACUCUAAAUAAUAGAGAAUUUUAACCUUUACUAAUCCCUUUCUUUUCUGAGGUAAACAAGGUGACACUUAUAUCUCAGAGGGUGACACAUGUGCCAACUCAGUUCAUCUGUAUGCCAGGAAGUCAGAGAACACACAAAUUAAAGAUUCUAUUUCGGUUUCUGCCAAAGUGAAUACACCCGAGUUUGUUUCAUAACGCAAUUGACUUUGAAUGGAAAUAUGUGUUAAGCUCGUGCAGGUAAAGAAUCCGAGGGAGCCGAAGAUAAUUAUCAGUGGUUAUGGUUUUGAGUAAAAUUUAAAAUUAUUCAUAACUAUGGCAUCUACGGACAUGCCUACUGUUUCGAUGUGAUUUACCUAAUUUAGUUUUUAGAUAUUUCGACUUUGUUUUAAGUUCGAGCGGCCUUAUUUUUUCCAUGGCAGAAAUACGACACCGGAGACAAGACACAAUGUGAAGAUACAUUUCUAUUCACGUGUAUUUAUAAACAUUGUUCGUUAAUUGGCAUAUUAAACUGCCAAAGUUAUUUUUAAAACCUAAAAUUAAUCUACCUUUAUAUUCUGGGGAAUACGACAUGUAUAGUAUAUUAUACGUAUUUUCAAUUACAUUUUCGGGACAAUUUCAGACUAGCGAUUGAUAAGCAAACAAGGAAACGAGGAAGAAAGACAGUUCAACAACAUAAGACUAAGAGAAAACAGUAAUUUUAGAUAAGCAGCACGAAGAAGUGAAGGAUUUUCUCGAUAUCUGUACUAUGAAUAAAAACUGUAAGUUAUUAAGCCUACUUACCAAAAGUAAUAUGCCUACCGUACGGUAUAAAGCAUAACGGUUUAAGCAUAAGACAUAAUACUGAACUAUAUAAAUG